rnacentral:lncRNA from 1 species
GAGAAGCGCCCACCCGGGAAGAGGAAGAAGCGCGAGAUACUGUGGGAUCCUAAGUUAAUUGGUCCUUCUUAAAGGCCAUGGGUAAAAGACUGAGAGCAUUUGUUCUUGAACUGUUUGAAAACACUGAACUGAGAUCUUCUUAUCAUCAGAGAGUCACACCAAGGUAGGUCCAUCCAUGGUUAAGUCUAUGGGCCCAUGCUUUGCUUUUCCUGGGGACAGGGUUACGCACUUUCCUCUUUCAUCCUGAGAUAAUUGACAGUGAUGACAGCACUUUUUUUUCCUCUUGGGGGUUAAGAGUAGGUUUUCUCUAAUCUCUAAUAGAAAUGUUAUAAAGCAGCUGGUAUAUAAAAAGUCCUCAGGCAAUAAAAAAGUUAACAAAUGAAUAUAUUAACAAAGAUUUUGAAAAAUAUCUCACAUUUUCUGUAUCUGUUGUCAUGGAUAUAAAUUAUCUCCUAGGAAUGUGAUUUCACGCUCCCUGAAGUCAACUUGUCAAGACCAUCUUUUUUCCAGAUAUGUGAAGGAUUGUCACAUAGCAUACUGUGAGGCAGAAGUAUCCAACUAGCACAUUCUGUCCCGGUGGGUACCAAUCGGUAUAACAAAGACCUUGACCUACCUCCAGUCAGUUUUCUCUGAGUCCUCUUUUUGGCUAGGUAUUGGGCUCUGUCCUUGGCCUGAUUAUUGGUUUUAGCAAGUAUCCUGCUAAGUCAAUUUAGCAGGACUCUCCUACCCCUGGUCUCUUCACCUUGAUAUUUGAUCAAAUUCCUCAUCCCCAUGCUUGAUAUCUUAUCACCCUGGCCUGCCUUCAGCAAGAAUCCUGUUGAGUUGGUCUAGCAAGAAUCUCCCUAGCUUUGAAGUUUACUCUAUGUAAAUUUUCCAUCCACUGACCCCACCCUGCUCCUUGGCUAUAAAUAUCUACUCGUCCUUGUGCUCAGAGUUAAGCCAAAUUUUUCUUCUCUGUUGCAAAAGCCCAUUGUAGUAGUCCCCUUUGAAUGAAGUCUUCCUUACUCUCUUUCACAAGUAUUAGGAAUUCUUUUUCUUUGACAAAUGCAAUAUAUUUUCGAAGGCAUAUAAAUUAUUGUACUUGCUCAUUAUGUGAGGCAAAAUGAAAGAAAGGGUCUGAUGUCUGUCUAGUGAACUAAGGACACCAAGCCCCAAAAGGACAAGGGCUUAAGGCUGCCAAGCAUGGUUACUUUUAUAUGGCCUCUCAGAAACCACCAUUCACAAGUGUAAUUACUGUGGCCAAUGAUGUGGAUAGGUUUCCCCAGACAGUUUCAUCCCCAUGUACGCUUUCAUGCACUAUAAAGUGUGGUAAUCCGAACACCACAUUUCCCACCAUCCUUUGCAACUAGAGUCCUGGCAACAAAUUAAAUUCCAUCAGUUGUAUGGUGAGAUUUAGAAGUUGGGAGUGAGUUGGAGGCUGUCUUGUUCCUAUGGCUGUUAUGACAUCAAGCUUGGUCGUGGAGAUGUGUGUCUAUUGGUUCCGUUUCUCUGGAGAACCCUGACUGAUAUACUCACUAAUUAGCAAAUGUGCAUUUGCCUUGUCGGUGGGUUCAUUUGAUUCUAUGUUUUUGCAUUUUGUAGUAAAGCUUUUUGAUUAAAAUUUUAUUUUUAAUAGAUGAUAUUGUCACAUGGUCUGCAAUUUUAAAAGUACAAAAGGGUAUGGUAAUGAAAAGUAAGUCACUUACCUGUCUCUUCCAUUAGCCGUUAAAUUCCCUCUCUUGGAGUCAACUACUAUUUCCAUUUUUGUGUGUGUCUUUCUAGGGAGAUUCUAUGCAUUCCAAGUAUAUUUUUGUUUUCAUACGAGGGGAGCAUAUGUGCACAUUUUCUGCACUUUGCCUUUUCAUUUAGGAGAUUCCUUCAUAGAAGGAUACA